UACGUAGGGCGCAAGCGUUGUCCGGAAUUAUUGGGCGUAAAGAGCUUGUAGGUGGCUUGUCACGUCGGGUGUGAAAGCUUGGGGCUUAACUCCAGGUCUGCAUUCGAUACGGGCUGGCUAGAGGUAGGUAGGGGAGAACGGAAUUCCUGGUGUAGCGGUGAAAUGCGCAGAUAUCAGGAGGAACACCGGUGGCGAAGGCGGUUCUCUGGGCCUUACCUGACGCUGAGGAGCGAAAGCGUGGGGAGCGAACAGG
rnacentral:rRNA from 1 species